rnacentral:rRNA from 1 species
GCCUGUUUAUCAAAAACAUGUCUUUUUGUAAAUAAUUUAAAGUCUAAUCUGCCCACUGAUUUUUUAAAAUUGAAGGGCUGCAGUAUUUUGACUGUACAAAGGUAGCAUAAUCAUUAGUCUCUUAAUUAGUGACUUGUAUGAAGGAUUGGAUGAAAUAUAGACUGUCUUAAAAAUAAUUAGUUGAAAUUAAUUUUUUAAUUAAAAAGUUAAAAUAAGUUAAAAAGACGAGAAGACCCUAUAGAGUUUAAUAUUAAAUAUAAUUUAAAUUAUUUAUAAAAUUAUUUAUUAAAAAAUUUUAUUUAAUAUUUUAUUGGGGUGAUAAAAAAAUAAAAUAAACUUUUUUUAAAAGUAACCAUAAAUAAGUGAUAUAAUGAUCCAAUUUUAUUGAUUAAAAGAAAAAAUUACCUUAGGGAUAACAGCGUAAUUUUUUUUUUUAGUUCUUAUAAGAAAAAAAGUUUGCGACCUCGAUGUUGGAUUAAGAUAAAAUUUAA